rnacentral:rRNA from 1 species
CCCUUAGAUGUUCUGGGCCGCACGCGCGCUACACUGAUGCAUUCAACGAGUCUAAAACCUGCUCUGAUAGGGGUGGGUAAUCUUUUGAAUGUGCAUCGUGAUUGGGAUAGAUGAUUGCAAUUUUUCAUCUUCAACGAGGAAUGCCUAGUAAACGCAAGUCAUCAGCUUGCAUUGAUUACGUCCCUGCCCUUUGUACACACCGCCCGUCGCUCCUACCGAUUGAAUGAUCCGAUGAAUAUCAUGGAUUGAGGAUGCAAGUAGGUUCGCCUAUCUUCAUCUUCGAGAAGUGAAGUAAAUCUUAUCAUUUAGAGGAAGGAGAAGUCGCAACA